rnacentral:rRNA from 1 species
AGCUCCAAUAGCGUAUACUAAAGUUGUUGCAGUUAAAAAGCUCGUAGUUGGAUUUCUGGUAGGAGCGACCAUACCGGACUUGAUUGUCCGCGUAAUGCGUUGUCUCCAGCCAUCCUCGUGGAGAUUGUUUUUGGCAUUAACUUGUCGAAUUCGGGACCCGCGUCAUUUACUGUGAAAAAAUUAGAGUGUUUAAAGCAGGCAAUUGGCUUGAAUACAUUAGCAUGGAAUAAUAAGAUAGGACUUUGGUGCUAUUUUGUUGGUUUGCACAUCAAGGUAAUGAUUAACAGAAUCAGUCGGGGAUAUUCGUAUGCAAAUGUCAGAGGUGAAAUUCUUGGAUUUUUUACAGACGAACAACUGCGAAAGCAUUUAUCAAGGAUGUUUUCAUUAAUCAAGAACGAAA